GAUGACCCUUUCUCUUUCCGUUCUGGUGGCGAUCGAGAUGUUCAACUCACUUAAUGCCUUGUCUGAAGAUGGGAGCCUCCUCAGCAUGCCUCCGUGGGUCAACCCCUGGCUUCUUGUGGCCAUGUCCAUCUCUUUUGGCCUCCAUUUCUUAAUCUUGUAUGUGCCCUUUCUCGCUCAAGUGUUUGGUAUUGUUCCCCUCAGUUUGAACGAGUGGCUGCUGGUGUUAGCCGUUGCCUUGCCUGUGAUUCUGAUCGAUGAGGUUCUCAAGUUGGUCGGGCGGUGCACAAGCUCAUCUGGUGACAAGAGACGUCCGCUAAAGCACAAGGAUGAGUAGAAGCUAACUGGUGAAGGUGGA
rnacentral:misc_RNA from 1 species